AGAACGAACGCUGGCGGCGUGGAUAAGACGUGCAAGUCGAACGGGAUUUCAUUUGUAGCAAUACACGUGAAGUUCAGUGGCGUAAGGGUGCGUAACACGUGGGCAAUCUGCCGAGAUGUGGGGGAUAGCUCGCCGAAAGGCGAAUUAAUACCGCAUGUGGUUAGUGCUGGAUUCAGCGCGACACCAAAGCCGGGGCAACCUGGCGCAUCUUGACUGAGCCCGCGGCCUAUCAGCUA
rnacentral:rRNA from 1 species